UCAGGAAUCUUGGGCAAUGGGCGCAAGCCUGACCCAGCGACGCCGCGUGAGGGAUGAAGGCCUUCGGGUCGUAAACCUCUGUCAGGAGGGAAGAACGGCGGUGAGGUGAACAAUCUCGUCGUCUGACGGUACCUCCCGAAGGAAGCGCCGGCUAACUCCGUGCCAGCAGCCGCGGUAAUACGGAGGGCGCAAGCGUUGUUCGGAAUCACUGGGCGUAAAGCGCGUGUAGGCGGCUUGGCAAGUCGGGUGUGAAAUCCCGAGGCUCAACCUCGGAACUGCACUCGAAACUGCCUGGCUCGAGUCCCGGAGAGGGUGGCGGAAUUCCCGGUGUAGGGGUGAAAUCCGUAGAUAUCGGGAGGAACACCAGUGGCGAAGGCGGCCACCUGGACGGUGACUGACGCUGAGACGCGAAAGCGUGGGGAGCAAACAGGAUUAGAUACCCUGGUAGUCCACGCCGUAAACGGUGAGUGCUAGACGUCGCGGGUAUUGACCCCCGCGGUGUCGCAGCUAAC
rnacentral:rRNA from 1 species